rnacentral:rRNA from 1 species
UACGUAGGGGGCGAGCGUUGUCCGGAAUUAUUGGGCGUAAAGGGCGCGUAGGCGGCUUUUCAAGUGACGGGUGAAAUCCCUCGGCUUAACCGAGGAACUGCCUGUCAGACUGGAAGGCUUGAGACCGGGAGAGGUGAGUGGAAUUCCCAGUGUAGCGGUGAAAUGCGUAGAUAUUGGGAGGAACACCAGUGGCGAAGGCGGCUCACUGGACCGGAACUGACGCUGAGGCGCGAAAGCGUGGGGAGCAAACAGG